rnacentral:rRNA from 1 species
CAGCCGCCGCGGUAAUACGAAGGGUGCAAGCGUUAAUCGGAAUUACUGGGCGUAAAGCGCACGCAGGCGGUUUGUUAAGUCAGAUGUGAAAUCCCCGAGCUUAACUUGGGAACUGCAUUUGAAACUGGCAAGCUAGAGUCUUGUAGAGGGGGGUAGAAUUCCAGGUGUAGCGGUGAAAUGCGUAGAGAUCUGGAGGAAUACCGGUGGCGAGGGCGGCCCCCUGGACAAAGACUGACGCUCAGGUGCGAAAGCGUGGGGAGCAAACAGGAUUAGAUACCCCUGUAGUCCCUGUCUCUUAUAC